UCCAGGAAUUUCCCAUUUGAGGCACUACUUC
rnacentral:piRNA from 1 species